rnacentral:rRNA from 1 species
CACGUAGGGGCCAAGCGUUGUCCGGAUUCAUUGGGCGUAAAGAGCUCGUAGGCGGUUCAGUUAGUCGGGUGUGAAAUCUCCGGGCUCAACCCGGAGGGGCCACCCGAUACUGCUGUGACUCGAGUCCGGUAGGGGAGUGGGGAAUUCCUGGUGUAGCAGUGAAAUGCGCAGAUAUCAGGAGGAACACCGGUGGCGAAGGCGCCACUCUGGGCCGGUACUGACGCUGAGGAGCGAAAGCGUGGGUAGCAAACAGG